AGUUCUUCCACGACAGCCGUAACUAUGUGACCCUCUCGAAGCCCCGAAGAACUGCUGGUGCGCCGCGCGGCAAAUGCGAGCGACGACCCGUGGGCAUCUGGUGCGAAUCCGGCCCGUCCCGACGACGUCGCGCCGAAUAUCCCGCCCGUGGCGUCGCACGGCGGCGUCCUCCUCCGGAAACGACGCCCUGAAGAGGUCGCCGGCGCCCUGGGGUGGACACCAACCCCGGCAGGGGGUGAAAAGCGAACAGGUGCGUUCUACCGGCCCCCCACUCCACGUCAUUCAACAAGUCGGUCAGCGCCGGAGUCGAUGUCGAAAAUCUCAGCGGACUGAUUCAAAGACGUGGGCGACACAGAUGCUGGGCACACACAUCGACGAAAGUCCGUCCGGAGCCGAGAACCUGUCCCAUGAGCAGCGACCAGCGACACUAAUGCAACCCGGAUCGCAUCACGAAUGUCCCGGUACGUCCAUUCGGAUUUAUCGCAAACGAUAAAUCUGCCAGUUACAUUAAUUAUAACAGUUACUGUGACUUGUUUAUUUUAGAACAAAUUUAAUUUCGAACGCGAUUUGUUUAUAUCCGUGGAAUGUGGUAGCCUUUUAAGUAUUAAUACACUUAUUCUUGCCCUAUUUUAAGCGUUUACAGUUCGUGUCGGCAGUAGUAUUAAUCAGUGUUAGGAAUAUUGUUCCAGGAAAUAUUGUAGACCUAAUUUACAUUUUAAUAGAUUUUUAUUUUAUUUCCCUAACGUGUUUAUGGUCUGAUUAGAGACGACUAGCUUCUAAAAUCACUUACACUUUAUAUUUAAUAGGUGUUAAUACCGAGCUUAAUACAAUCUUAAUUUCUUUAAAGGUAUGUAGAAUGUAUUCGUAACUAUAAUUUAUAAAAGCUGUUCUGACAAAUUCAAUCUGUAGAAUGUAGUAGCUCUCUAAAGCAGUAUUUUUGUUAUCGCCCUGUUUUACGCUACUUGUAUGCACAGUUCCCUAGUAGGCUAUUUAUCAAUUUUAGUUAUACAAGCAUUCAAAAUAUUCAAGAGUAUAUCGAUGAGUAAGUAGGUAAGUAGAUUCUAAUAAAUAUUUGAUUGCUUAUAGGCACUGGUCAUGGUUAAAAUAUGUUUAUCAAAAGAAUUUACACUAUUUCGUAACUGUUACAGUCUGAUACUUAAAAAAUAGUAGAUUUAGAGUUGCCCUAGCAGGCCAGAAAUUGUAAGAAUUAAGCUUAUGGUCAAAUCUUUAAAUAUAUUUUGUUAAUUUAGAUAUUAAAUUCACUUUAUUUCACAGCUAAGGAGCCAAUAUAGUUUUUUAGUAGGUUUUGAAUAUUAAUUUAGUUAAUAACUUUCCGAUUAAUACAUUGCAAUAAUGCUUAUUUGUACAAGUGUAAACACAAUGAAAAAAUGCGUCAUAUUGUCAAUGUAUUUAUUAUUAUGUCAUCUUUAUAUGAAAAGUAAUGAUAUUUAUUGUAAUUUUUUAAUACCUUUACUUAUGCCUAAAUUAAAUCAAAAUGCAAAACUGAUUAAAACUACUUCAUAUAUGACCAUAUUUUUUUUCUACUAGGUAGUUAAUUUUUCAAAAUGAAACAAUAAAUAUCAGUUUUAUAAAUGACUUGAUUUCAAAAACCUCUGCAAAAAAUAUUCUUAUACAAGGUACUUACUUAAAAUACUUAGAUCGUUUGAAACUUUCUAUUAUUUUUCUUUAUUACAUAUUUAUUUUUUUGGUGUCAACGUAUUUCCACAAUUUCCAUCAAAUUUUGUUACUUCAAAAGUUUGAAAAAAUAGUAACAAAAAUUUAUUUUUAGUUUAUGACAAAAUAAAAGUUUUAUUUCAUUAAUUAUAUCAUAAUUAACUUACAAGAGUAUCAGAAUGAUUGUAUAUUUCUACACUAAUAGAUUUUUAGCAAAUUAUAUUUCUAUUAUAAGCAACUUUAAAGGUAUUUGCAGACGCUUCUGGUAGUUUUUGUAAUUGAAAAUUGUACGUGGUGCAUCUAUCUAUUUCUAAACUUAAUUAUACGAGUAUAAUAAAUAUGCAUAUUUUAGGUAGGUAAGUCAAUUUAGAUCUUAAGGCUAGAAACAGCUGGCAAUUUUUUUUAACACUGUUGCUCUUAUGAUGUAUUCAGAGGCAGCUGCUACGACGUAAUAAAUAAAAUACGCGUGGCAACUGCUGCCUUAAUUCGUAUUAUAGAUACAUUUUUAUAGUAAAAAAAAUCUGGGAACGUGCAACUAGAUGUACUUUAGUUUUAAAAAUUCGCAGUGCCAUUUCGUUUUAGCUUCUAAGAGUCCAUGGUGCCAUUUAAGUUUUAAGUCUGUAAGUUUAAAUUCUGACUACCAUAUGAACGUAAACGAAACCAUAGCAAAAUUAUUUUACAAGCUGUAUUAGUUCAAAGUAAUUCUGUAUUCCUUUUCCUCUUCAAAAACAUGAUUUUGACAAAGACAAGACUUAAGGGAAAGUGUUAACACCAGCACACAAAAAAAAUUGAGAAUUCCCUACAGUGAAACCAUCUUGGUCUACGCUUCAACUUACAUAAUUUUUUCAGAAAUAAUCAGGUGUCUGGUACAAACAAAACUUUCUAUUAACAUAUGUUGAGUCAAAGAAGGCCGUCGUUAAAAAAAAUUGCAGCGAUCAUUGUGGGAACCUGGCUAAAUCUGGUUUCGUCUACGAUUCACGUAUAGGUAGAAGUUAAUUAUCAUCUGAACAUUGAAGUAGGUCUAUUUUGAAUUGAUUAUUGAAAUUUUAAUCAGGAAGCCGUAUUCCGAGAUGAUACGACUGAUAGAUACAUAAAUAUAUAUGAUUGAUAUUUUGGUUUGAUAAAAGGAGGUUUAUAAAUUUAAAUUCCUGAUCGAAUACUUAAUGUAUUUUCGAUUAUAAUUUAUAUAUGUAUGAUGUCAAAAGAUGUAUCGGAUAAGGUCUACUGAUGUUUGAUUGACAUGUUUGAUAUACUCGCUACUAGUUUUUAGAGCCUAAUUACAAAGUUUAUUAGCCACUUUCGAAUAAUUAUUGUAUUAUCUGUUUUAGUUGUUUAGUCGUCUCCUGUGUUUUUAUAUUAUAUUUGUGUACUACAAAUUAGGCUGAGACAUAGCUUUAAUAUAUUCAACAAUUUGUAUCUGACCUGUAUAUUUUUAAUAAAUUCUAUUACAAAAA